UUCAAUUGUAUUGUUCUUGUUUCUUAUUUCUUAAUUUCUCUUUCAAAUCGCAGGAACCCUAACUUACAUCUGGCAAGUCUAAGUGCAAUUUCAGAUAAUUUCUUAAUUUUCUUCUGAAUAUCUACUUAAGUUUUGUGUGUUUUGUUUUCUAAACAUUUGCUUUGGUUCUAGAUACGGUGUUUUAGUGAGAUUGGAUUGUUUUGCUUUCAUGCUUGAAAGUAAGAAAAUUAUGUUAAGCUUUAGCAAAUUUUGAGAGGCUAGACAAAUUUUCAUAUGUCAAACAAUGUGAAUUAAAUAGAAUUCCUUGUGUUUCCAUAAGAAUUCAAGGGCAGGGUACUGCUUAGUGGGUCUUUGUAAGUAUUGAAUUUGUUGACCCUACCAUUAUUUGUAAAAUCAUCAGAGUUGAGCUUUUGAUUUGUGCUGAGUGGUGGCAUCCGAAAUAUGUUCUUUCUAAUUUUGCAAGUUGCUACAUUUCACUAAUAAGAGUCUCAUACCAUUCAUCCAGCUCUUCCCUCAAAAUAGCCACUUAGAUUUCCGAGCAUGAAUAACCUAACUAUGUUUACUUAUCUGUUGCAAUUUAUCUUUGUGUUUGUGGAAACUGACAGCGAAGAUAUUGGGAAGCCUAUUUCAGAAUACUUUGGUGUUAGUCGAAGUGAUCCAAAAGCACUUGCAUACACCAGAAAUACGUGCUUGAGAGUGAGGUGACUCUUGACAAUAUCAAGACAAAAGAAGAAUAAGAAGAAUGUUUUUCAAUUGAAAUUGAUGAGAACAAUCAAUGUUGGCAGGAUUACUUUGCUCAUGAAUCUGCCAAGGUAAAGCUGAAACACAUUAAUAUCUUCAAAAUCCUAAUGUAAAUAUACAUAUUAUUUGCAAUAUUGUUCCAGCACUAUAGAAUUAUAGUUGAUAAGUUCUUCAUUCUUGCCUUGUUGCAGAAUCAAGAAGUUUUUCAUCUCAACUAGCUUGUGAUACUAAUCAUUUAGCAAGUGAACUAAAAAUUAAUCAACAAGCAAAAUGUACACAAGGAUAAUUUAUAAUUUCACCUUAUUAAACAUUGUCUAGCCAACUUUAAGGACCAAAAACAAAAUUAUCUAGCCAACCAGAUUCAAAACAUGACCUUACAUUUAAGAGUAGUAGAAUGAUUAUAUAUGUUAACAAUUAUGAAAUUUAAAAUAAAAAAAAUAAAAAAACUACAUAUAAUUGGUCUCUAAUUUGUAGAAUAUGCACAAAAGAAUGACGUGAAAAAUGUACAAAUCGAAUGUCAAUGCACAAAACUCUGAGACCAGAUUAGCAUGAUUUUGAGGUUGCAAAUGAGAGAAGAAGAUGAUAGUGACAAGGACUUGAUGAUAAUUGAUAGGUGUCGUUGCUAACAAUUAAUGGACUUGGAUCUACCAUUGAUAUGCCAUUGCUAUACUUGGAUCUGCCAUUGCCCGCUUAAUGGACUUGAAUCUGUCAUUGCUAUACCUGGGACUUUUCUUUAUUCACAAGCGACAACUUCAAAGAAAGCAAAGAAAAUUGAAGUUGAAAACAGUAGUUAGAGGAAAUGUUAGAAAGAAGAUGAAAACUAUUUUUGAUUAUUUGAGUUAUAGUUUUAGUCAUGCUGGGAUUUUUCAA